AUUGAACGCUGGCGGCAUGCUUUACACAUGCAAGUCGAACGGCAGCACAGCAGAGGUAACUCUGUGGGUGGCGAGUGGCGAACGGGUGAGUAAUACAUCGGAACGUACCCUGUUGUGGGGGAUAACUACGCGAAAGCGUAGCUAAUACCGCAUACGCCCUGAGGGGGAAAGCGGGGGGACCCUAAAUAGAGCGCACUGGGGAGUGCGUUGUAUUUAGGGCCUCGCGCAAUAGGAGCGGCCGAUGUCGGAUUAGCUAGUUGGUGAGGUAAAGGCUUACCAAGGCGACGAUCCGUAGCUGGUCUGAGAGGAUGAUCAGCCACACUGGGACUGAGACACGGCCCAGACUCCUACGGGAGGCAGCAGUGGGGAUUUGGACAAUGGGGGCAACCCUGAUCCAGCCAUGCCGCGUGAGUGAAGAAGGCCUUCGGUUGUAACUGCUUUAUG
rnacentral:rRNA from 1 species